rnacentral:rRNA from 1 species
UCUACGGGAGGCAGCAGUGGGGAAUAUUGGACAAUGGGGGGAACCCUGAUCCAGCGACGCCGCGUGAGUGAAGAAGUAUUUCGGUAUGUAAAGCUCUAUCAGCAGGGAAGAAAAUGACGGUACCUGACUAAGAAGCCCCGGCUAACUACGUGCCAGCAGCCGCGGUAAUACGUAGGGGGCAAGCGUUAUCCGGAUUUACUGGGUGUAAAGGGAGCGUAGACGGUGCAGCAAGUCUGAUGUGAAAGGUCGGGGCCCAACCCCGGGACUGCAUUGGAAACUGUGUAACUGGAGUACAGGAGGGGCAGGCGGAAUGCCUGGUGUAGCGGUGAAAUGCGUAGAUAUCAGGAGGAACACCGGCGGCGAAGGCGGCCUGCUGGACUGAAACUGACGUUGAGGCUCGAAAGCGUGGGGAGCAAACAGGAUUAGAUACCCCAGUAGUC